AGUGAACGCUGGCGGUAGGCCUAACACAUGCAAGUCGAACGGCAGCACAGUAAGAGCUUGCUCUUACGGGUGGCGAGUGGCGGACGGGUGAGGAAUACAUCGGAAUCUACUUUUUCGUGGGGGAUAACGUAGGGAAACUUACGCUAAUACCGCAUACGACCUACGGGUGAAAGCAGGGGAUCUUCGGACCUUGCGCGAUUGAAUGAGCCGAUGUCGGAUUAGCUAGUUGGCGGGGUAAAGGCUCACCAAGGCGACGAUCCGUAGCUGGUCUGAGAGGAUGAUCAGCCACACUGGAACUGAGACACGGUCCAGACUCCUACGGGAGGCAGCAGUGGGGAAUAUUGGACAAUGGGCGCAAGCCUGAUCCAGCCAUACCGCGUGGGUGAAGAAGGCCUUCGGGUUGUAAAGCCCUUUUGUUGGGAAAGAAAAGCAGCAGGUUAAUACCCCGCUGUUCUGACGGUACUCAAAGAAUAAGCACCGGCUAACUUCGUG
rnacentral:rRNA from 1 species